UACGUAGGAUCCGAGCGUUGUCCGGAAUUAUUGGGCGUAAAGAGCUCGUAGGCGGUUUGUCGCGUCUGCUGUGAAAUCCCGAGGCUCAACCUCGGGUCUGCAGUGGGUACGGGCAGACUGGAGUGCGGUAGGGGAGAAUGGAAUUCCUGGUGUAGCGGUGGAAUGCGCAGAUAUCAGGAGGAACACCGAUGGCGAAGGCAGUUCUCUGGGCCGUAACUGACGCUGAGGAGCGAAAGCGUGGGGAGCGAACAGG
rnacentral:rRNA from 1 species